AUUGAACGCUGGCGGCAGGCCUAACACAUGCAAGUCGAGCGGAUGAAGGGAGCUUGCUCCUGGAUUCAGCGGCGGACGGGUGAGUAAUGCCUAGGAAUCUGCCUGGUAGUGGGGGAUAACGUCCGGAAACGGGCGCUAAUACCGCAUACGUCCUGAGGGAGAAAGUGGGGGAUCUUCGGACCUCACGCUAUCAGAUGAGCCUAGGUCGGAUUAGCUAGUUGGUGGGGUAAAGGCCUACCAAGGCGACGAUCCGUAACUGGUCUGAGAGGAUGAUCAGUCACACUGGAACUGAGACACGGUCCAGACUCCUACGGGAGGCAGCAGUGGGGAAUAUUGGACAAAGGGCGAAAGCCUGAUCCAGCCAUGCCGCGUGUGUGAAGAAGGUCUUCGUAUUGUAAAGCACUUUAAGUUGGGAGGAAGGGCAGUAAGUUAAUACCUUGCUGUUUUGACGUUACCAACAGAAUAAGCACCGGCUAACUUCGUG
rnacentral:rRNA from 1 species